AUUGAACGCUGGCGGCAGGCUUAACACAUGCAAGUCGAGCGGAGAGAGGUAGCUUGCUACUGAUCUUAGCGGCGGACGGGUGAGUAAUGCUUAGGAAUCUGCCUAUUAGUGGGGGACAACAUUUCGAAAGGAAUGCUAAUACCGCAUACGUCCUACGGGAGAAAGCAGGGGAUCUUCGGACCUUGCGCUAAUAGAUGAGCCUAAGUCGGAUUAGCUAGUUGGUGGGGUAAAGGCCUACCAAGGCGACGAUCUGUAGCGGGUCUGAGAGGAUGGUCCGCCACAGUGGGACUGAGACACGGCCCAGACGCCGACGGGAGGCAGCGGUGGGGAAUAUUGGACAAUGGGCGCAAGCCUGAUCCAGCCAUGCCGCGUGUGUGAAGAAGGCCUUAUGGUUGUAAAGCACUGUAAGCGAGGAGGAGGCUACAUUAGAUAAUACCUAGAGAUAGUGGACGUUACUCGCAGAAUAAGCACCGGCUAACUCUGUGCCAGCCGCCGCAGUAAGAC
rnacentral:rRNA from 1 species